rnacentral:rRNA from 1 species
UACGUAGGGUGCGAGCGUUAAUCGGAAUUACUGGGCGUAAAGUGUGCGCAGGCGGCGCCGCAAGUCGAGUGUGAAAGCCCCGGGCUUAACUUGGGAAUUGCGCUCGAAACUAUGGUGCUGGAGUGUGGCAGAGGAAGGUGGAAUUCCACGUGUAGCGGUGAAAUGCGCAGAUAUCAGGAGGAACACCAAUGGCGAAGGCAGCUCGCUGGGACGGUACUGACGCUGAGACGCGAAAGCGUGGGGAGCGAACAGG